rnacentral:rRNA from 1 species
CCUAAGGUAGCGAAAUUCCUUGUCGGGUAAGUUCCGACCUGCACGAAUGGCGUAAUGAUGGCCAGGCUGUCUCCACCCGAGACUCAGUGAAAUUGAACUCGCUGUGAAGAUGCAGUGUACCCGCGGCAAGACGGAAAGACCCCGUGAACCUUUACUAUAGCUUGACACUGAACAUUGAGCCUUGAUGUGUAGGAUAGGUGGGAGGCUUUGAAGCGUGGACGCCAGUCUGCGUGGAGCCAACCUUGAAAUACCACCCUUUAAUGUUUGAUGUUCUAACGUUGGCCCCUUAUCGGGGUUGCGGACAGUGUCUGGUGGGUAGUUUGACUGGGGCGGUCUCCUCCCAAAGCGUAACGGAGGAGCACGAAGGUUAGCUAAUCCUGGUCGGACAUCAGGAGGUUAGUGCAAUGGCAUAAGCUAGCUUGACUGCGAGCGUGACGGCGCGAGCAGGUGCGAAAGCAGGUCAUAGUGAUCCGGUGGUUCUGAAUGGAAGGGCCAUCGCUCAACGGAUAAAAGGUACUCCGGGGAUAACAGGCUGAUACCGCCCAAGAGUUCAUAUCGACGGCGGUGUUUGGCACCUCGAUGUCGGCUCAUCACAUCCUGGGGCUGAAGUAGGUCCCAAGGGUAUGGCUGUUCGCCAUUUAAAGUGGUACGCGAGCUGGGUUUAGAACGUCGUGAGACAGUUCGGUCCCUAUCUGCCGUGGGCGCUGGAGAAUUGAGGGGGGCUGCUCCUAGUACGAGAGGACCGGAGUGGACGCAUCACUGGUGUUCGGGUUGUCAUGCCAAUGGCACUGCCCGGUAGCUAAAUGCGGAAGAGAUAAGUGCUGAAAGCAUCUAAGCACGAAACUUGCCCCGAGAUGAGUUCUCCCUGAGACUAUAAGUCUCCUGAAGGAACGUUGAAGACGACGACGUUGAUAGGCCGGGUGUGUAAGCGCAGCGAUGCGUUGAGCUAACCGGUACUAAUGAACCGUGAGGCUUAACCUU